GCGGCCGUCGUCUAGCCUGGUCUAGGACCCUAGCCUCCCGAGCUAGUGGCCCGGGUUCAAAUCCCGGCGGCCGCA
rnacentral:tRNA from 1 species